GACGUAGGUGGCGAGCGUUGUUCGGAAUCACUGGGCAUAAAGCGCACGUAGGCGGCCAAGUCAGUCAGGUGUGAAAUACCUCGGCUCAACCGAGGAACUGCGCCUGAUACUGCUUGGCUUGAGGUCCGGAGGGGAGAGUGGAAUUCCCGGUGGAGCGGUGAAAUGCGUAGAGAUCGGGAAGAACACCCGUGGCGAAGGCGGCUCUCUGGGACGGUACUGACGCUGAGACGCGAAAGCGUGGGGAGCGAACAGG
rnacentral:rRNA from 1 species